rnacentral:sRNA from 1 species
GGGUCGAGUGAUUUGGCAUGAUCAGGUCCGCUUCUUCCAGUAAGCUCGUCAACAACUCCAAAUCACCUGAAAUCAACACAAAUAUG